GACGAACGCUGGCGGCGUGCUUAACACAUGCAAGUCGAACGGAAAGGCCCUGCUUUUGUGGGGUGCUCGAGUGGCGAACGGGUGAGUAACACGUGAGUAACCUGCCCUUGACUUUGGGAUAACUUCAGGAAACUGGGGCUAAUACCGGAUAGGAGCUCCUGCUGCAUGGUGGGGGUUGGAAAGUUUCGGCGGUUGGGGAUGGACUCGCGGCUUAUCAGCUUGUUGGUGGGGUAGUGGCUUACCAAGGCUUUGACGGGUAGCCGGCCUGAGAGGGUGACCGGCCACAUUGGGACUGAGGUACGGCCCAGACGCCUACGUGAGGCAGCAGUGGGGAAUCUGGCACAGUGGGCCGAAGCCUGAUGCAGCAGCGCCGCGUGCGUGAUGCCCGCCUUCGGGUUAUAAACCGCUUUCGCCUGUGACGCAGCGUGAGUGACGGUAAUGGGUAAAGAAGCACCGGCUAACUACGUG
rnacentral:rRNA from 1 species